rnacentral:rRNA from 1 species
AUCCUACGGGAGGCAGCAGUGGGGAAUAUUGCACAAUGGGCGCAAGCCUGAUGCAGCCAUGCCGCGUGUAUGAAGAAGGCCUUCGGGUUGUAAAGUACUUUCAGCAGUGAGGAAGGUGGGUAUGUUAAUAGCAUAUUCAUUUGACGUUAGCUGCAGAAGAAGCACCGGCUAACUCCGUGCCAGCAGCCGCGGUAAUACGGAGGGUGCGAGCGUUAAUCGGAAUUACUGGGCGUAAAGCGCAUGCAGGUGGUUUGUUAAGUCAGAUGUGAAAGCCCCGGGGCUCAAACCUCGGGAAUUGACAUUUGAAACUGGCAAACUAGAGUACUGUAGAGGGGGUAGAAUUUCAGGUGUAGCGGUGAAAUGCGUAGAGAUCUGAAGGAAUACCGGUGGCGAAGGCGGCCCCCUGGACAGAUACUGACACUCAGAUGCGAAAGCGUGGGGAGCAAACAGGAUUAGAUACCCUGGUAG